rnacentral:lncRNA from 1 species
CACAAACCCUAGUGAGGUGCAUGUGAGCACCAAGUCAGGGAGAGGGGGCAGGAGUGACUCUGAGGCCAACAGAGAGGGUGGGAAGGGGAUCUCCCUAGGUCCCCUGGUGAUCACCCCCCACCCAAACUGGUAUCUCCACAUUCUCAAUGACUAUGAAGACAUACCAGGCUCUGUCCUUUUGGCCCCCACCCCAUCCCUGGCCAGAGCUUCAAAGGCCAGUCCCAAAAGGUUCUACCCUCACUUGCUCAGGCUUCUAGCCUUCCUCUUCU